rnacentral:rRNA from 1 species
ACGAACGCUGGCGGCGUGCUUAACACAUGCAGGUCGAACGGAAAGGCCCUGCUUUUGUGGGGUGCUCGAGUGGCGAACGGGUGAGUAACACGUGAGUAACCUACCCUUGACUUUGGGAUAACUUCAGGAAACUGGGGCUAAUACCGGAUAGGAGCUCCUGCUGCAUGGUGGGGGUUGGAAAGUUUCGGCGGUUGGGGAUGGACUCGCGGCUUAUCAGCUUGUUGGUGGGGUAGUGGCUUACCAAGGCUUUGACGGGUAGCCGGCCUGAGAGGGUGACCGGCCACAUUGGGACUGAGAUACGGCCCAGACUCCUACGGGAGGCAGCAGUGGGGAAUAUUGCACAAUGGGCGGAAGCCUGAUGCAGCAACGCCGCGUGCGGGAUGACGGCCUUCGGGUUGUAAACCGCUUUCGCCUGUGACGAAGCGUGAGUGACGGUAAUGGGUAAAGAAGCACCGGCUAACUACGUG